AUGCUACUACUAAUUCUAAUAAUACUACUACUAAUAAUAAUUAUAAUAGGUUGUUCAAAUUUCUUUUUAGUUUAUUUGCUGAUUGCUAACUGUGACUGUGGCACCCAGUCAUGGAUGGACGCAUACCCAGAUUGUCGCUUAUCUUUGUUCUAUUGGCAGUAGUAGGAUUUAUACUGCUCAUUAGCAACAUCACAUCUCUGGAGAGUCGCGCAAUGCUUCCCAGUGGGUCAUGCAGGUUUGUGGUUCAAGCAGCGCUGCUCCAGUUUGUUGUAUGUUCUGCUCAUCUCACUAGCAAUAACACACACAAAGCGGAGUUCACACAUGGGCUUGUACUUUACUUGGCAGUCACCAGAGAACCUCCAGCUAUCGGUUGAACAUGUGCAGUACACUUACAGGUGUAACCACUACACAAACUGUGUGGGGGUGUUCUAGGCUGAACCAUUCACUGCAUAUACUACAAAGUUCACUGGAAAAAAUGACUUUUUGGCCCAGUAAAUAUUAUAUUUAUUACAUGAGUAAAGUUUACAUUAAAUUAUAGUGUUUUGAAUUUUACUUCAGUUUAGUGUCUUAAUUUUAAUGUGAUACUUUAUAUUUGUAUGUAAUUUUGUAUCAUUAUAAAUACGUGUAAUGUCUAUAUGAAAACCACAAGUAAGAUUAACUUAAUUACUGCAUGUCAUACACCGUUCUUUAAGACUAAGUUAACUUUACUUCAGUAAUGUGACCAUAUCUAGCAACCCUCACCUUGGGUGACGUCAGGGGAGUGUUUGCACUCGAAACUCGAAAUGAUAUCACUUGGAUGGUGGCUGAGCUUCGUGGGUCGUGCGGAUGACUGGAUGCACUUUUAAAAGAGAUACUGACUUUCACAGAUUGCCUGACUUGCUAUGCCAUCCAUGACUCAAUACUGAAGAUCACUGUGAUUUUGUUCAGCAAAUUGGCAUUAUCUGCUAGUGCAUGCUCCAACCACCUCGUCAAGUUCGCCGAUGACAUGACUGUGGUGGGUCUCAUCAGCAAGAAUGACGAGUCAGCUUACAGAGAGGAGGUGCAGCAGCUAACAGUAUGGUGUAGAGCCAACAACCUGUCUCUGAACAUCAACAAGACUAAAGAGAUGGGUGUUGACUUCAGGAGAGAGUGACCAUUCUCCGCUGUCCAUCGACGGAUCCUCUGUGGAGAUCGUCAAGAGCACCAAAUUCCUUGGUGUUCAUCUGGCAGAGGACUUCUCCUGGUCACUCAACACCAGCUCCAUCACCAAGAAAGCCCAGCAGUGCCUCUACUUCCUGAGAAGGCUGAGGAAAGCCCAUCUCCCUCCCUCCAUCCUGACUGUGUUCUACAGAGGGACCAUCGAGAGCGUCCUGAGCAGCUGCAUCACUGCCUGGUUUGGGAACUGCACCGUCUCGGAUCGCAAGACCCUUCAACGGAUAGUGAAGACAGCUGAAAAGAUCAUCGGAGUACCUCUUCCCUCUAUCAAGGACAUUUACACUACACGCUGCAUCUGCAAACCUAACAGCAUUGUGGAUGAUCCCACACACACUCUUACACACCCCACACACCCCUCACACAUACUCUUCACCCUCCUGCCAUCUGGAAAGAGGUACCGGAGCAUUCGGGCCCUCACAAGCAGACUGUUGAACAGUUUCUUUCCUCAAGCCAUCAGGCUCCUCAACACCUGGGACUGAACUGUACAAAACUCUCUCUCUCUCACACACACACACAAACACACACACACACACUUAGGACUGAACUGUUCAUAACUGUCUGUCUCUCAUACACACAUACACACACCCACACUCACUCUCUCUCUCACCUGUGUGGAUACACUCACACUCACAUAACCUAUAUUCUUCGAUAUUUAUUGCAUUACCUCAACCCCCGUGUAUUUCAUCUGCUGCUAUAUUUAUAUUCAUAUUUAUGUUUAUUUCUAUUUUGCACUACCUCAACUGCUGCUAUUGUAUUUUUGCACAAUACAUGUUGUCAGGUCCCAAAGUUCAUCAUCAUCUCAUUUUAUACAUUUCAUUACAGUUCCUUGCAUGUUCUUUUCUUUUUUUCGGUGCUAAAUUGCCCUUUGUUUUGUGUUGUCUUAUUUUUUUUGUAUUUAUUAUUUCUGCACUGUCUUUCAUUGCUUUGUUUGCACCUAGCUGCACCCUUUACACUUUAUGUGGCUUGGACGAAUCUUUCGGUCCUAGCUUUAUGUUGUUCUUGUGUUUAAGCUAUAUGUUGUAUGUUUAUGUAGCACCAGGUCCUGGAGAAACGUUGUUUCAAUUCACUAUGUACUGCGUCAGAUAUAUGUGGUUGAAAUUACAA